ACGCUACGGGAGGCAGCAGUGGGGAAUAUUGCACAAUGGGGGAAACCCUGAUGCAGCGACGCCGCGUGAGUGAAGAAGUAUCUCGGUACGUAAAGCUCUAUCAGCAGGGAAGAAAAUGACGGUACCUGAUUAAGAAGCCCCGGCUAACUACGUGCCAGCAGCCGCGGUAAUACGUAGGGGGCAAGCGUUAUCCGGAUUUACUGGGUGUAAAGGGAGCGUAGACGGCAGGGCAAGUCUGGAGUGAAAGGCGGGGGCUCAACCCCCGGACUGCUCUGGAAACUGUACGGCUG
rnacentral:rRNA from 1 species